rnacentral:rRNA from 1 species
AAGGGGAGGGGGACCCUACGGGUCUAGGGAAUACCCCGGAUCCGUUUUGCCCCCUGUCCCUAGCUUCAUAAUAAAAUUGUGGAGACUAUGUGGCAAAAGAAAAACAAGGGAUUUAAAAGAACGGGGGGGGGGGNNNNNNNNNNGGGUCCCCCCCCCGGGAUCCGAAGGGUCCGCCACGCCCCGUCCCGAUUUAUAUGAAAAACCACUCUUUUUAUUAAGAUUACUGUCUAACACCGUACAAGUAAGAUAGUUUGGUUGGGGCGACCGCCUUCGAAAAAGUAUCGAAGGCGCACAUAAGAUUAAUCAGGAGAAGGAUCCGAAGGAUCUUUUUCUCGGGGGCAAUGUCCCAAAAAAAGGAGAUUAAUUUGACUGAGAGGGCAACAACCCGAACAGACGUCAAAGGAUAGACCGGGGGGGGAAUCCUACAGAUUCCUUCCCCCCCUUCUUUUGGCGGGUCAUAGUGAUCCGUUGUUAUAUUG